AACAAACAGAAAGAAAAAAAAACAGAUGAUACAAAGAGUGAUUAAUUGAAAAUGGAAACCACGCACCUGAUACACAUAAAAUUGGAUCCAAAACCGAGCGGAGGCUCUUUCGUGAGCAUCUUGAGGCAGCAGACGAUAAUUCCCCGGCCAAGUUUCUUCGAUGUAUUCAAGGAUGACAGAGGACUCGGCAAUCGGCUUGCCACGAUGAACAAGCACCGGGACCUUCUUGUGAACUGGGUUGAGCUGCAAAAGCAAUUCACUCUUGUUUGAAAGGUCUUCUUCUAUGUACUCAUAUUUCACACCCUUGAGCUUUAGAGCCCAUAUCACUCUGUAAACAUAUGGGCUUGGCCAAAACCCUAUUAGCUUCACUACUUCUUCCAUUGUUGACGUGUUGAGGUCAAGACAGGAGGCUCAUAGCAGUCUAAAUUUUGGUUGCUGAUAUAAUACUCUCUGAAUUUUGACUUGGCUUUAGUGGUAACUCGUAACUUGUAAGUAAGACAAAAUGAAAUGUUAGUCCUGUAGCUGCUUGGAAAAUGCAUGAAAAGUGACAUGCCCCCCGCCUUUCUUAGUUUCUUCUUUUAUGUAUCUCUUUUUUAUUCUCUCCUUUUUCUAUCUUUUUUUAAAGUUCUACAUCCACCGAAUGGACCUUAUCCUUUUCUUUUUUUUGGGUCAAAUGGUAAUUUUGCCUCUCUUUCUCGUUCUUUAUUGCUCGCUGACUACGUUACAAGAAAAUUCUUCUCUAAUAGAUGUUGACAGAAACUACUUGUUUUCAAAUAGGACAAAACAAAGCCCUUCAAAUUUCAAACCUCCAAAUUUUAUUUUAUUUUGAAAAAAUGUGAUUCCUAUGAAGCAUGUAUAUGUCACUAUGUGGAAUUUACACAAAGCUAGUCAGUCCUGACUUUGAAUAUCUGUGUGUGAGUUGGAAAGGGUAGAAAAAGAAAAGUUAUUUACAUUAAUGCCCUUUAAGAUUUUUGGUAUUUUUACAAAAUUUUAGUAGGUUUUGAAAAUUACACUAGGAUUUCCUAAGGUUUCAAAUUAUUUUUACAAAGCCCUUCUGUUAUUUUUCCCUCCAAAAUUGCUAAUGGCAUAAAAAAAAUUUCUUCACAUAACAAAAGUAAUAACUUCAAUACCUUUUUUUUCCUUAUUUGGGCACGCUCUCUAGCUAGCGAGGAGAGCCAUGCUAUAUAUUAGGGUUAGGUUCUCUUUUGCGCUCUACCGCUACUGUUGCGUGUCUUGGAAGUGUUGGCCUCGCUUCUGUCUCUCUUUGUUCCUGAACGAUAGCUUUGCCUUUGCUCGUCGUCUUUCCCUCUUGGUUUAGAGGUGAUUAUGUUUUGUCGAUUUAGGGUUCACAGCUAGGGCUUCGUGCCCUAGCGUCGUCACUGCGGUCGUUGUUCACGGCUAGGGCUCUUUGCCCUAACAUCGUCACUUCAUCCACUACAUCGUCACUUCAUCCACUAGAUUGCCCUUGGGCCUGUUGUUGGGUCUUAUUUGCCUUAGUGUCGUUGCUAUUUCGUUUAACGCGGCUCCAUCUCCAUCGUCUAGGUUGAAUCUCAGCUUUUGUGUGGUUGUGUGGUCGUAUAGGUCUGCAGCCUUUGUGAUGGCUUGAUGGUGAGGGUUGCAAUUGUUGGAAAAGAUUGCGAAAAAUCAAAAAGCCAAUAAAUAAAUAUGGCACUCUCAGGAUCUGACUUCUCCCAGCCUUGUGUAAAUAAAAUGGACAAAAUUAAUACUUUAUCUUCCACUAAGAAAAAUAAUGGGAAUACAAAAUUAAUCUCACCAAACACCGGUGGCUAAACUCUCUCUUGGUUUUUUUUUUCUCAAGAGGAUUUUCUCUCAUACACAAGUGAGGUUUUCUUAUCUCUCAAAACUCUCUAUGUUUUGGUUUUCUAAAGGAUGAUUUGAACUGAAGGAAAGCAACUGCUUUUAUAGCCAACGUUUCUGACAAAUUGGUGGCCUUGCAUGCGAGAGAGUUUUUCUCAUUUUUUCUUCCGUUCGUUUUCUUCAGAUUUUCUCGUCCUUUCUUUUAUUUUAUUUUAAUAUUUAUUUUCCUUCUUUUUCUCUCCUCCACUAACGAGGGAAACCCAUCAAUCUCCCCCUCCUGACUUAGGUGGAGGGCUCCAGCAGUCCAGCUGCUCUUCUGCAAAAUUCGUACUUGUCCUUAGGUAAGGACUUGGUCAUCAUAUUUGAACUAUUGUCAUCAGUAUGGAUUUUCUCAAGUUGUAAUUACUUUGACUCCAACACAUCACGUAUCCAGUGAUAUCGCACAUCAAUGUGCUUCGACCUCGAGUGAAAACUCGGAUUCUUGCUCAAGUGGAUCGCACUCUGACUAUCGCAAUGCAAAAUGUAUUUGUGCUGCUCUUGCCCUAAUUCUUGUAGGAAUUGCUUCAUCCAAAGCAUUUCUUUGCAUGCUUCAGUAGCUGCAAUGAACUCUGCCUCUGUAGUUGAUAGAGCAACACAUUUCUGUAACUUUGAUUGCCAUGAAACUGCUCCCCCUGAAAAUGUAAUCAGGUAUCCUGAAGUAGAUUUUCUGGAAUCAAGAUCUCCUGCCAUGUCUGCAUCUGUGUAGCCAAUCAAUUCAUAUUUUCCACCUCCAAAACACAAACUCAUUUUGGAAGUACCCCUGAGAUAUCUGAGAAUCCACUUCACAGCAUUCCAAUGCUCUCUGCCUGGUUUAGACAGGAAUCUGCUUACAACGCCAACUGCGUGCGUUAUGUCUGGCCUCGUGCAAAUCAUUGCAUACAUCAGACUACCAACAGCUGAGGAAUAUGGCACCAUAUCCAUGUUUUCUUUUUCUUUCUCACAUGUGGGACUCUGCUUUGAACUAAGCUUGAAGUGACUAGGAAAUGGAGUAGAAACUGGUUUUGCUUUAUCCAUGCUAAACCGUUUUAGUACCUUCUCGAUAUAACUUUCUUGUGAUAACCUAAACUUCCAAUUUUUUCUAUCACGGGUUAUACUCAUACCGAGGAUUCGUUUUGCGGGUCCUAAGUCUUUCAUAGCAAAAGACUUGCUCAACUCUUUCUUCAGCUUGCUAAUCUUGUCACUGUUUUGUCCCACGAUCAACAUGUCAUCGACAUAGAGAAGAAGUAUGAUGAAUUCACCAUCAUCAAAUCUUUUCACAAAUACACAAUGGUCUGAAGUAGUCCAUCGAUAUCUGUGUUCAAUCAUGAAGGAAUCAAACUUCUUGUACCAUUGUCGAGGUGCCUGCUUGAGUCCAUAUAAGCUCUUCUUCAGCCGACAUACCAAAUCUUCUUUUCCUUUGACUUUGAAUCCUUCUGGCUGCUCCAUGUAUAUUUCUUCUUCAAGAUCUCCGUGAAGAAAAGCUGUCUUCACAUCUAGCUGUUCGAUCUCGAGAUUCAGGCUUGCAGCCAAACCGAGUACAACCCGUAUGGAUGACACCUUCACUACGGGUGAGAAAAUCUCUUCAAAGUCAAUUCCUUUCUUCUGACUGAAACCUUUCACAACUAGCCUUGCCUUAAACCUGGGCUUAGAGUUGUUUUCUUCCGUCUUCAGUCGAUACACCCAUUUGUUCUUGAGUGCUCUUCUACCUUUUGGUAGGUUCACUAGAUCAUAUGUGUGGUUCUCAUGCAGAGAUUGCAUCUCUUCAUGCAUGGCUUUCAACCACUCAUUUUGUUGAUCAUGAGUCAAUGCUUCUUUAUAGCAUUCUGGUUCUCCCCCGUCUGUUAGGAGAACGUAAUCAUCUGGAGAGUACCUACUCAGAGGUCUCCGUACCCUGGUCGAUCGUCUUGGUUGGAAUUCGGCUGCUGGCUCUUCAUCGGCUUGUGCUUCUAGCCCUUCAUCUGCUGCAUCAUCUAUUAUACCAUCAGUUGUAUGACCAUCACUCAUGUCACCAUCAACUGGUUCAUUUAUAAUAGGAUCACUAGCUAGAUCAUCAGUAUCAUUGGAUUCAUCUCGCUUGUCAUUGUGCUCCAAUGGAGAAGGAACUGGAUCUAAGUUAGCUGGAUAUUCUCUAGGAUUAUUAGGUUUAUCACCUCUUCGAAUGUCUUCAAUGUUCUGAUCUUCAAAGAAGACAACAUCUGUACUUCUAAUAAUCUUUCUAGCUACAGGAUCCCAUAACCUGUAACCGAAUUCUUCAUUCCUAUAUCCCACGAAGAUACAUUCUUUCGACUUUGCGUCGAGCUUGGAUCUCUCGUCUUUAGGAAUAUGAACAAAAGAUCUACAACCAAAAACUUUUAGAUGAUUGUAGGAAACGUCUUUUCCCGACCAGAACUUGUUCGGGACAUCACCAUUCAAAGGUGCUGAAGGAGAAAGGUUGAUUAGAUCAACUGCAGUCAUCAGGGCUUCACCCCAAAAACUUUUGGGCAGCUUGGCAUGAGAUAACAUUGUUCUUAUUCUUUCAACAAUUGUUCUGUUCAUUCUCUUAGCUAUGCCAUUAUGCUGAGGAGUCUUCGGAACAGAUCUUUCAUGCCUAAUUCCAUUACUUCUACAGUAGUUUCUAAAUGCCCCCAUAUAUUCUCCUCCGUUAUCGGUGCGAAUACAUUUGAAGCUUCUACCAGUCUCUCGUUCAACGCUAGCAUGAAACUGCUUGAACACUUCAUACACUUGAUCUUUUGUUCUAAGUGCGUAAGCCCGUACCUUCCUGGAAUGAUCAUCAAUGAAGGUAACAAAAUAUCUUGCACCACCAAGAGUACUAGUGGUCAUAGAACCACAAACAUCAGAGUACACAACAUCCAAUACAUUGGGUUUUCUUUGUGCAUGACCAUGUUGAAACAAAGCUCUAUGCUGCUUUCCAGCCAAGCAAUGCGUGCAUGAUUUUAGAGGCAUGUCAUUCUUCAUCCCAGUCAGUGCCUUUCUUUUGGCUAGAAUUUCCAGCCCUUUCUCGCUCAUGUGACUGAGCCGUUUAUGCCAUAGCUUGAUUGAGUCUUCUGCGAGAGCAUUUACGUACCCAUUACUGACUUUUGCAUGUGUCAUGUAUAGGGUGUUCUCCUUCUUCCCUCGUGCUAGGACAAGAGAGUUCUUGCUGAGUUUCCAUUUCCCUUCAGCAAAGACAUUGAUGUAUCCUUCAUCGUCAAGUAAUCCAGUGGAGAUUAGAUUGAGACGCAUGUCUGGAACAUGUCUCACAUCCUUGAGGACCAAGUGACAGCUUGUGUUGGUUUCAAGGGAAAUAUCUCAUCUUCCCACGAUCUUGGACAAUUUGUCAUUUCCCAUCCUCACAUUACCAAAAUCUCCAUUGGUGUAAGAUGUAAAGAAGUCCCCCCGUGAGGUGACAUGAAAUGAUGUACCAGAGUCCACUAUCCAACAUGUAUCUUGAGAGGACAAAUUAACGAAGCCAUCACCACAUAGAAUAAUUACCUCAUUUCCACCAGAGGUAGUUGCAGUCGUGUGCCUGGCAUUACUCUUUUCGUUACCUCUAUCUUGCUCUCGCUUAAACAACAUGCACUCUCUCUUCAUGUGGCCUAUCCCGCCACAAUGGUAACAUUCUGGGUCCUUUCUUGUCUUGGACCUUCCUCUCAAGCCAUCUCUUGACCUGCCCUUUGAUUAUCUCCCCUGUGGAAUUUUCUAUUAUUAGUUCUUCCACGAUACUCUGAGAUGAGGGCUUCUGACUCGGCUACUACACCUUGUUCUUUCCUCCUUGCUUCUUCAUUGAACAUGCUAUCUUUAACUAUGUCCAAUGUAAGAACGCCUUGAGGAGCUGAAUUGCUUAAGGAUACAACUAGUGUAUCCCAGCUAUCAGGCAAAUAGCUGAGUAACAUUAGUGCUUGUAACUCAUCAAUCACCAUCUUCAUAUUCGUCAACAGGUUGAUCAAACCUUGGAAGUCACUGAGAUGCUCGGUAACACUUCGACCAUCUCUGUACUUAAGGUUUACCAACCGUCGGAUAACCGAUGCUUUAUUUUGAGUGGUCUUCCGCUCGUACAUGGACGACAAUUUUGUCCAUAAUUUGUAUUUAUCCGUCUCUUGUGCCACAUGGUGGAACACACUUUGAUCCACCCAUUGUUGGAUUUGUCCGACAACUUUUCUAUUCAGAAUGCUUCAUGCAUCGUCUGACUUCCCUGCUGGUUUUUGUCCCAGAAAGUGAAGGGGCUCAUACAAAUCCUUGCAGUAAAGGAUGUCCUCCAUUCUUGGAUUCCAAAUGGAGUAAUUGGAUGCAUUCAAUUUUAACAUUGUUGCUGAUGAUGAUGACGAUGACUCCUCCAUCUUAAAUUACACAAGAAUAUAAUUUUUGAGCCAAAGCUCUGAUACCACUUGUUGAAAAAGAUUGCGAAAAAUCAAAGAGCCAAUAAAUAAAUAUGGCACUCCCAGGAUCUGACUUCUCCCAGCCUUGUGUAAAUAAAAUGGACAAAAUUAACACUCUAUCUUCCACUAAGAAAAAUAAUGGGAAUACAAAAUUAAUCUCACCAAACACCGGUGGCUAAACUCUCUCUUGGUUUUUUUUUUCUCAAGAGGAUUUUCUCUCUCACACAAGUGAGGUUUUCUUAUCUCUCAAAACUCUCUAUGUUUUGGUUUUCUAAAGGAUGAUUUGAACUAAAGGAAGGCAACUGCUUUUAUAGCCAACGUUCCUGACAAAUUGGUGGCCUUGCAUGCGAGAGAGUUUUUCUCAUUUUUUCUUCCGUUUGUUUUCUUCAGAUUUUCCCGUCCUUUCUUUUAUUUUAUUUUAAUAUUUAUUUUCCUUCUUUUUCUCUCCUCCACUAACGAGGGAAACCCAUCAGCAAUAAGGAAGUUUUGCACGGUGCUGGUGGUGUACGCUCGGAGUUUACAAGUGGUUGGCUUCUAGGCUUGUCUUAGGUAGUAUGGAUCUGGUGCAUUCUAGGAUCUUCUGUGUUAGGCACGAUUUUUUUGUGGAUAGGGUUGUUGGUUGCAAUCUCUGUACCCAUCUCUCUGGUUUUUUUUUUUUUUUUUUUUUUGUGGUGGGGAUUUGGGAUCCGGGUGGUGAUAGAGCCCUUACUGUUUUUGAGCAAUAUUUCGGGCAACACCAUGUGCUCAUGGAUUCUCCUAGUGCGUAUAGAAUUUGCAUCGACGAGUUUGAUGAUAAGGCUUGGAGUUGUGAUUUGUUUGUUUCCUUCUUUCGAGUUCUUUGUAGCAGUCCAAAGUGGCAUGUGUCGGAUUCUCUUGUGACAUGUGUGGUACUCUUUCUACUCUGGGAUUUGUCCUAGAUGGUUUUCCUAGGAAGGUUUUAACGAAUCCAAUGUAUUUGUGCCAAUAUGUGUAUACCUUUUUGGUUUAUGAAUGAAAUCUUAUUCUCAAAAAACUUCAACACCUGUAUCUUUGAGGUAAACUUUGUCAUUUGAAGAAAUGUUUUUUAUGACGUCAAUCGUUUUUAACGGAAAAUUACUAAAAGGGGUUUUGUGAAAACAAUUUCAAACCACAAGAGGUGUUAGCUAGUGUAAACUUUGAAACCAUAAGGCCCCGUUUGUUUCUUGGAAAAGGGGGCUUAGGGAUGGGAAAUCAUUUGCUUUCCCAUGUUUGGUAAGUCUAUGCAUGGGAAAUCGUUGUCUUGUACAUAAGAAAGUAGGGGGGUUGGGGGAAGUAAAGCCCUCAUUCUCUCUUUGGUUUUGUUUUCCUCCUCAUAGGAAAGUUUGGGAAAAUGAGCCAACAUAAAAUACACAUUUUUUUUAUGACCAUACUAUCCCCAUUAACAAUUUAGAAUUACAAUUAGCAUUAAAUGCUUUUUUUUUUUUUAAAAAAAAUUUGAUUUCAUAUGAGUAUAAUUGGAAACUUAAACAAACUUUGUUUUAUAUUCCUACACAAACCAAACAUGUGAAAGGAAAUAAAGUGGUAUUUCUUAAUUACUUUUCCAAGAUUACCAAACAUAGGAAAUGAAUCUCCAUUUCUUAUCCCUUGAGAAAUGACAUGGGAAGUGAUUUCCCCUCGAAUCCGUUCUGUGAACCAAACGGGGCUAAGUGUAACUGUAGAAUUACCAUUUAAGUUCCAUGAUUCCAAUUUCUUUUUGAUUUUCCUAUCUAAAUAGAAUUACCAUCUAGGAACUGGCUUAAAAUUUCUUUUUUACUCGAGGGUAAGGGCCUUAUAGUUUAAGUGGUUAAAAGUCUUCCCCCAAUAUCGAUUGUGUAAAAUAAAUAUAAGAAAUUCAUUUUUAUUCCAAGGGCACUACUCCCUUUUGAAACAGAAUAAUUUGGUACAUGAAGUUGAAAUUGGAUAAAAUAAGCACACAAUAAUAUUAUACACAUAACAUAUAUGAGCCAUGACCCUAUGCAAAAAGCUAUAGCCAAUAUGACUACUGGGCAGUGCUUUUGGCCAAGACAAACUUCUCUCUUGUAUGUUUCACAUAGUCAAGCAGUCUUCCAUGAUCAGGCAGGUUCUCUUUGAUCACAGGCGCUUGCUUAAAAUUCUGAGCCCAUGCAUGCAAGCGAGGCAGCGUGCCUGGUUCUAUCACUUUUUUCCCUACUGCUUCUUCCACGCAUUCAAACCAGUAACUCAGAGCUCCACAGGCAAUGUCCACCAGACCAAUAGUGUCGCCGCCGAAGAAUAUUUUGUCUCCAAGGACUUGUUCUUCCAAGAUUUUUAGAGUUUCAUGCAACUCUUUUGUUGCCUUUUCUUGUUCUUCAUCUCCAACAGCUCGAAAAUAUGCACUAAGGCUGGGCCUUAUCUGGAAAGGAGAACAAAAAAAGAAGAGAUCGAUGUCAGUACGUUUUCAAAUUCAGAAUCUCCUACACGUAAAAUGUAAUUAAUUACCUUCUCUACUCCAAAUUGCAUCCAAAAUCGAGCAAGGGCUUUUUCAUGAGGAUCUUUUGGAAGCAAUGGCUUCUCUGGCCAUGUUUCUUCGAUGUAUUCGAGGAUGAUGAGGGACUCAGCAAUUGUCUUGCCGCCAUGGACAAGCACUGGCACCUUCUUGUAAACUGGGUUGGACUGCAAGAGCAACUGGCUCUUGUUUGAAAGGUCUUCUUCUAUGUACUCAUAGCUCACACCCUUGAGCUUUAGAGCCCAAAUCACUCUGUGAACAAAAAAGCUUGGCCAAAAUCCCAGCAGCUUCACCUCUGCCAUUGUGUUGUGGUGAGAUGUUUGAAACAAAUGGGUUUAGAGUCUC
rnacentral:lncRNA from 1 species